rnacentral:hammerhead_ribozyme from 1 species
AUCCAGUUGACGAGUCCCAAAAUAGGAUGAAACGCGUGUUCAGGAU